UACGUAGGGUGCUAGCGUUGUUCGGAAUCAUUGGGCGUAAAGCGCAUGUAGGUGGUUAAGUAAGUCGGAUGUGAAAUCCCCCGGCUCAACCAAGGAAGUGCAUUCGAAACUACUUAGCUAGAGGACGGUAGAGGAAGGUGGAAUUCCUAGUGUAGAGGUGAAAUUCGUAGAUAUUAGGAGGAAUACCGGUGGCGAAGGCGGCCUUCUGGGCCGGUUCUGACACUGAGACGCGAAAGCGUGGGUAGCAAACAGG
rnacentral:rRNA from 1 species